AGUGAACGCUGGCGGUAGGCCUAACACAUGCAAGUCGAACGGCAGCACAGUAGAGCUUGGUCUUACGGGAGGGCAGGGGCGGCACAGUGGGGGAUAUGUCGGAAUCUAAUCUUUCCUUGGGGGAAACGCAGGGAAACUUAAGCUCAUACCACACACGACAGAUGGGUGCAAACAGGAGGCCUUUGGACCUUGCCCCGUUCAAUGAACCGAUGUUGGAAUAGCUAGUUGGCGGGGGUAAGGCCCACCAAGGCGACGACCCGUAGCUAGUCUGAGUGGAUGAUCGGCCGCACUGGAACUGAGACACGGUCCAGACUCCUGCGGGAGGCAGCAGUGGGGAAUAUUGGACAAAGGGCGCAAGCCGGAUCCAGCCAUACCGCGUGGGGGAAGAAGGCCUUCGGGUUGUAAAGCCCUUUUGUUGGGAAAGAAAAGCAGCAGGUUAAUACCCCGCUGUUCUGACGGUACCCAAAGAAUAAGCACCGGCUAACUUCGUG
rnacentral:rRNA from 1 species